CCUCCAGUGUCACCUGAGAGGUCUCCGAACCCGUUAUUUUCAUCAUACCCACCAUCAGUACCACCGGCACCACCAGCAACACCAAAAUUUGAACUCCCACUACCAUAACCUCCUAAGUUUCCACCCAUAGAGUCAGCAGCUCCAUCAUAGCCAGCGUUAUUGCCACUACCAGAACCACCGGUAACACCAAAAUUUGGACUCCCACUACCAUAACCUCCAAAGUUUCCACCCAUAGAGUCACCAGCUCCAUCAUAGCCAGCAUUACUGCCACUACCAGUAUUUGCUCCACCUCCAUAAACACCGCUAUUUCCUCCAUAAUUACUACCAUAACCUCCACCACCACCACCAUAGCCACCACCUCCAUAACCACC
rnacentral:lncRNA from 1 species